rnacentral:tRNA from 1 species
CCAGGGGUGGCAGAGUGGACAAUUGCAGCAGGCUGUAAACCUGCCGGCCUUUGUGCCUGCGGGGGUUCGAAUCCCUCCCCCUGGA